CAAAAGCUGCUCGAGGAGGGAAAGAGAAGAUAAGAAAAAGAGGAAGAGACAAUAAAUCAAAAGGCAAUUGUCGCACAACCUGCAAACUCCAAAACGGACAAGAAGCAAAGCAGCAAAAAAGGUUUCAAAGGAAAAGGUUUCAACUGUGGAUUAACCGGACAUUAUGCGAAUAAGUGCGAAAAGGAAAAGAAUAAAACGCAGGCGAUGAAGAUAUUAGCGGUGGCAGAGACAGCGGUGCGACGUCACAUAUGUGUAGAAAUAGAGAAAUGUUUGUAAAUUUCAAAGUACACAAUGAAAGAAUUACACUUGCUGGUGACAAAUACAUCAAUGCCUUACCAAUGGCAUUGGCGACGUGAACAUAUACACCAACGAUAAUGAAAUUAGACUUGAAAAUGUUUAAUACUCUCCUGAGUUGCAAGCUAAUUUCAUAUCUGUUAACAAAGCAGUUGAAGAGAGCAUUAGUUAAGAAACCAGAUGGUGAUAUUCCAUUGCAAGAAGAAAGAAAAGACAAUAGGUGUGUCUGGUUACUUUUUCAGCAACUUUUUUCUGAGAGAGUAAGGUAGUUUUAUUCUCUUUUGCAUGGACAAGGCGAAAAGUAAACAGACGGUAUUCCUGCAGAAGUUUACAACUAAUCAGCAGAUUUGUCAAAACAAACCAAUUUGUCCCCCAUUAAAAGAAUUAAAAUAAAGGAAACACCACCAAUUUUACAAGUUUUAUAAAUGAAAAUAAAAUUGGCAAUAAAAAUAUAAGCAAUAAAAGAAAAAUAGAUUUGAUGUAUUCCCCGGAAUCCUUUAAACCUGUUGCUAAUGGCGUUUGUCUAAAAAUGUUGGAAAUACUCUUUUAUUUCCUUAUUACAUAUUAAUAUUUAUGUUUUUAACAUUUUGUUAAGAUAUUCUCCAAAAACAAUUAGUCUAGCUUAUUCGAAAACAAUAUUUUCCAAUUGAAUGCCGAUGAAUAAGAAGAAAAAGAGUUGCAAGAAGAAAUUUGUUCAGCAAGAAUUUACAAACUCUCACUAAAAGAAAUGUCAAAAUUUCUCUCUGAACUUCUCUCUUUUGCAGAACUUUUGGGUUAACAGACGACUUCCAGUAACAAUUUGUAACAAUUGUUACAAAUUUUAGGGUAACCAGACACACCUAAUAUGUUUGUAUUUAACAGCAACUCGUGUGAGAAAUUGUUCGCUAUGGAUAACAACAAUUUGGUGUGGCACAAUAGAUAUGGCCAUCUAAAUUUCAGGAGCCUGAAUGACUUCUCCAGAAAAUGUAUGGUAAAUGGCAUGAGGAUAAAUGGAAACGUUAUGGCAAGACGAUUUCGAAGGAAUUGUUGCAACUUGUCCAUUCAGACGUGUGCGGUCCAUUCAGAACUACUUCGGUAGGAGGAUCGAAAUAUUUUGUAAAAUUUAUCGACGACAAGCAGAAGUCAGUCGCACUUAGUAGCACAGAGGCUGAGUACGUGGCGUCGUCCGAAGCAGCAAAAGUUUUCACCACAUCCGAGACUUAGUCCAGAAAAAUGAAAUAAAAUUAAAAUAUUGUCCUUCAACAAAUAUGGUUGCUGAUGUAUUCACCAAAAAUUUGUUUAAACAAAAACAUUGUAAUUUUGUAGAUUUAAUGAAUCUAAAAUGAGAUCUUUUGUAAAUGUAAAGCAUCAUUCAUGUUGAGGAGGAGUGAUGGAAAUAUAUGGCAACCCUCAUUAAGCAACAUGAAUGCUGUUAUAACUUCUUUAUUUUCUCUUGCAUUCAUUCUCUCGUUUAACUUAAUUGUGUAAAGAAGCAUAAAAUAUUUCUUUUAAUUUCAAUAAAUCUUUGGAUAUAUUUAAAGAAUAAAAACAAAGUUUUAUCUUAAGGCUAUGUUUUAUCAACUUGAUCUUUUGAUGGAUCCAAAAUUAAAUUUUAAUAGUCUUGUAAUAGCGAUGGUAGAUAAAGCAAAUGGUGUUUAGGUAUUGUAAAAUGAUGGACCAAAGAAUUUUCUGAUCCAUAUAUAACAAACAUUUAUUUACGUCUCUUGUUAGACUUCUAUUAGAAUAUGGUUCCGUUUUAUGGGAUCCUCAAUAUGCAAUAUACUCUGAUUUUCAAAAAGCUAGCUUCCCAUUUUACAAAUAGUAAUAUUAUUCCCAACCACUAAUUCGGCUUCCGUAAAAACCACAGUAAUAUUGAGCAAUUGUACUGCAUAGUCACAAACAUUAGAAUAGCAUUCGAAUGGAAAGAUUAUUGUUCCGCGUUAUUUAUAGAUAUUUCCCAAGCCUUUGACAAAGUUUGGCAUCUGGGAAUUCUACACAAAAUAUGGGAAACUCUACCUAAAAACACACAUAGUCUUUCUUGUAGCAAUUUGUCAAAUUGCAGAUUUGUUGUUAAAUCGAAAGACGUACUUUCAUAUUUUAGAAAACUAUUGGCUGGUGAACUCUCACCUCAACGUUUGCACAUGAUAUAACUUUCAUUAUUAUACACAAGGAUCCUAUGAUGGAAAAACUACAAACCCAUGUAAAUUUUCUCGAAAAUGGACUUAAAAAAUGGAGAAAUGCCCUAACAUGUGAACUUUGCCCCACAAUAAAAAUCUUCAAUACACACGCUCCACAGAAAGAUACCGUAAAAUAUCUCGGAAUGCAGCUGGAUCGAAGACUUAAAUGGAAGCAACACAUCGACGCAAAAAUCACGCAAAUAAAACUAAAAAGCCAGAUUGUGUAAGACUGUAAUAAAGCCCAUUUGGACUUAUGGUGUACCAUAGAUAAGAAACGCAAACAUCACAAGGACCUCGACAUACCUAACAUUGAAAAAGAAAUAAAACAGCUUUGCUGAUAGCAUAUAUAUAACAUAAAGUAGAAAGAAAGGAGUUAUAUAUGGAACAAGAUACCGUGCGGAUGACCCGCCGCGGCUUGCUUGCACGCACGCGAUCUUUUCUUGACAAUUUCAAAGACUGUUUUGAAUAAAUGCUGCGGCUUAUUCGCGUGAAACAUAGACUUCAAAAAACCGAAAAAAGAAAAUCUAAAGGUGUUAAAUUCAUUCAUUCAGUUCUAGGUAAGAAAAAUCGGGUUACCACUUCACAAUACCGAUUUACGAUUUCACGAUUGCGUUCUACUUGGGCACCAUUUAAUAAAAACUGCUCUGAACGGACGGAUAAUAGAUUAAAAUGAAUGAUAUAUCCUGGAUCCUAUAUUACAGAUCCAUACUUUAAGAUGUAAAGCAUAAAAGAAAUGUGAAGCUGUUACAAACCAAGAAUUGUUUGCUCCAUUGUUUUAUAAAGACCAAAUUUUAUAUACUUUAUUAAUAGUCAGAGAAACAUGCUCGCGGAAUUGAAAUGUAAGAUUCCAAAGGGUUUCAAGAUCGUUUAUAAAUGUAACAGAGUCGAUUCUUUAAAAUAGUAACUCAAUGCAAUUUUCUUAACUCCAAAAAAUAACAUAUGCAAAAGGUUAUCUGACUGUAAUAGCAGUCGAUUAUAUUCGGGAUUAAAUGGAAGGAACAUUUCCACGUCGUCAGCAAACAUUAGGAUUUAAAAAUAACGUAACGAGCCUUAACUCCUGGGCUCGACGAGACCAAGCUAUUGGCGCCCCCUAACUAUCCAGUGGACGGACUGGUCCACCGCAAUGGACUCCCUAACGCUGGGGUGUUACAUAAACCGUGCCCAUAAGCAUUCUAAAGUUUGCAGUCAGGGUACCGACUGUAUGCGAACGUUUGCCUUGUCAAUGCCUGGACGUCUCGACGAGCAGCAGGUUUAGCUACCAAGCCCUUAUCAUUAUGUGGUGACUAUGUCAUGGCGGAAUUCGUUACCUCCAAGCCCAAAACUUUUAAGGAGAACAAUAAACAAACUAUAAAAUAAAAACAAACGCUGACACCAAUUCAACCCUCUCGUUGGAGGCACCGACGUAGGACACGGCCACGAGCAUAAUUUUAAAUGCGGGUGGGGACAUGACUGCUGACGUACCGUGACAUAGUAUACCAAAACACACAGAGACAGAGCAAACAGCUGUCCGCCCUUCUCGAAAAAAAACAACAUCGGUGGAUCCAGCACGCAUGCUGACAAUAUUGAGAAAGCAAAAUCCCAACCUCUGUACGGACAACUUGCGAUUAGUCGGUUCAAGUACGGAGGGAGGAGGCCUGUUUGUAAAAGUAUCCAUCUAUACUGUUAGCCAGGAAACUGCACUUCGGCACAAGAGUGAUUUUUCCGUCUAACUUAGUAGGAGGAAUGAAGCAGUAGCUGCUUAGCAUCAUGUAGAUUAUUCUGCACCACUGCAAAGCAGCCGCAGCUGUACUCCUUCUGUCCCCCACUAAGACUGAAGUUCACAUACCUCUGGCCCAGGAACCAUGCAUAUUCAACAUUGAGCUGUGUGGACUAGGGAGUGAACGGUACAUUACCUACUCUACCUCCAACGGGGAAAAGCGAGGGAGACGCCAGGGCGGUUAGACUGGAGACGCGAUCGGGGAGGGUUCUCAUCUUUGUCUCCCUUCACCCAUCCUCUGAGUACCCUGUCCCACCGGGCAAAGUAUUAUAGAAGCUGUUUACGGAACUGGGAACCAAAAGCAACCUCGUCGUCUGAUGUGAUGCCAAUGCUAACUUUUCAAUGGGGCAAUAAGGAUACCAAUGUCAGAGGUGAGUCCAUUUUUGACUUUAUUCUUAAACAUAAUCUCAAAAUAUGUAACAGGGGAAAUGAGGUCACUUUUCAAACAAAGAAUAGGAAGGAGGUCAUUGAUCUCACGCUUACAAAAUCAUGAAUCACUCAAUUGGAAAGUCUCCACUGAAUGCUCCAUCACGGAUGAUAAUAUAACAAAUCUCAGUAAUCCCUCUACUGCCCGAAAUCAACCCUCUACUGACAUCAAAAACCGCAUAGGCAUCCAAGAAAGGCUCGAUGGGACAAAUUCGUGGAGUAUACUGCAUUGAGGCUGAGAUCAACGGGUAAUAUGCCAGUAUCCUUGGCCUCAAAUGUGGAUGACUCCGUAAAUUUUUUAAGAAAGAUUCUGCUUGGGUGCUAUAAGAAAGCUUGUCCUCUUACCUUCCCUGGCAAGAGAUGCCAACCUGUUUGGUGAUCAAAAUCACUAGCCAAUCUCAGGAAUGCAAGUAGACACUUAUAUAAGAGGGCCAACAGGACCAAACUAAGUACAGACUGGGAGGCUUAUAAAUCUGCCUUCAACAGGUAAGCAGUGAGAUCAAGAAGGUCAAAAGGUUAUCAUGGGUCUGCUUUACUGAGUCUAUAGAUGUCAAUAAAGCUUCCAGAUUCCGUAAAUUCGUUCAAAGGAUCCCAAAUCCAUUUGAUGCGUAAAACGGAAUGACGGAAGUUGGACUGACUCUGGUCUAAAGACUCUCAAUCUGUUAGCCAGUACUAAAUUUUCGAAUUGCACAGAUGCGAGAAAUGUUCGAACGGCAGAUCGACACAGUCAGCACUGUGAGGCAGAUGACGUGAGUCUGACUGAGAGAAUUGUAAGUACCUCCAAAAUCUUGUGUGAUACAAACCCAGCGCGAUCCUCGUGGGUUAAGUGGAGAAGAACCUGAAUGACUCGUGCUUCACCUUGACAUCCUUUCUCGACAUCGAAGGGGCCUUCAACAAUGUCACACUUGUGGUAAUUCAUUUACAAAACUUGGUAUACCACCACACCUAAUUGAGUGGAUUGAUGCUAUGAUCAGUAGCAGAAUCAUCAACUGAGGUUUCGGAGAGUGUUCGGUCAGGAUACAAAUUCAUAAAUCUUAUCGUUUCUGCCCUCAACUACUUCCUUCUCUUUUUAUGUGUUGGUUUCUCUUUUGAGACGAGCUUAAUGAUCUGAAAUUUGCAGUGAAAAGGAAAGCCACCACUAUGCGACGCGUUUCGCCGUUGGUUAAGCGGCUCAUCAGGCAUAUUUGGUGUGGAUGAUGGCUUACAAGGGCCGUUCUCUGGAAAGUAGAUUUUGUUUUGAACUUAUAUCGAUUUAGCAUAUGCGAAUUAAACACUAGAAACUCUCCAAGUUCGACUCAAGUUCUAUUAGCAGAUCUUUUUCACAGCAAAGUUUGCUCUUGUAGUGAUGGGGGCUAUACGAUAUGGUGAACCUAUAUAAAUAAUUCUCUUCCAGGCGGUAAAAUACUCACAAAGAACUCCUCGUGUAGAAUUUUAGACAAAAAUCAAAAAUACCGAAAAUUGGGAUUCAUAUUAUAUAGGAGCUAUACGAUAUCGUGGACCGAUAUAGCCCAUCUUCAAACUUGACCUGAUUUUUUUGCCACAACUUAUUCCAGUUCAUAUACCUAUAAGUUGACAUAGACUGAUCAAAUUUGUAUGCCUUUCCCACAACGUCAAGAGGUUUACAAUAGUUUACGUAGUUUAAAAUUGAUUAGAUGUCCAUGACCGGAGUGCAUACCUAAUAUAAUUCUUAAGUAUUGUUUAGACACAUUAACGCUCCCUUUAACUUAAUUCUUUAAUUAUUCACUUAAAUUUGGUCACUUUCCUACUUUCGGUAAAUGCAAGUGCAUACACGUUACUUUUGCUCUAAGGCGUGAACUUAGCCCCACGAUAAAAAUCUUUAAUUCUCAAGUUCCACAGAAAGAUAUCGUAAAAUAUCUCGGAAUGCACCUGGACCGAAGACAUACAUGGAAGCAACACAUCGAUGCAAAAAUCACGCAAAUUAAACUAAAAAGGCCAAUUUUGAGUGGUUAAUUGGUAUACGUUCUUCUAUUAAAUUAGAAUACAAAGUCCUAUUAUAUAAGACUGCAAUAAAGCCAAUUUGGACUUAUGGCAUACAGCACUGGGGCACAGCUAGUGCCUCUAACGUAAGUAAGCUACAAAGAAGACAAUCGAAUAUUCUUCGAUCUAUUACAGGUGCACCAUGGUACAUAACGAACGCAAACAUCCACAAGGACCUAAAUAUGAUUACCGUUGAGAAGAAGAAAUAAAGAAGCUUUGCCGAAAGUACUUAAACAAACUAUCCGAGCACCCAAAUAGCUUGGCCAGCCAACUCCUACUAUUCGGAGGACACGAUAGACUGCGUAGACGUGACACUCUUUCUAUCACAUAGUUUAUGUUUUGUCAUACUCUCUCAUUAUUUUCAGCUCUUGCCUGGCCAAUUGAACGUUUUUUUUUUUCAUCGCCCACUGUUAUACUUCUACAGGUAGGUAGUAUGCUAAAUUGGAAGCUGCUUCUGUGAAGAAAUCGAUAAGUCCGCGGGAUGAUUGGAUAUAACUGUAUCUAAAGAAAGCAACAUUAUAUCCGUAAGACUAUUCCUGCAGUCCGCGAUUCACUUAGAUAUAACAGUAUCUAAACUUAUCUGAAUUACCUACUCAAUUAAUUCACGGAUAUAACUGUAUCCACAAGCCCACAUACAACACACAUCUAUAUCUUAAAAAAAUUAACAAUAAUUAAUAAUUAAAGCAUGAACGCUGAUAAAGCAUGACAAUCUCCUUAUAAAAUAGAUUAGUAUAUAAGAUAUGAAACCUUAUUGUUAUUUUCAUUAAAAUAUAUAAAAGAUUCAAUAAAUUAAACUAUUAAAAAAACUUUCCUACUUUUUGGAAAAAAUCGUAUCUUACAAAUGUGUCAAAUUAUACAGGAAUUGCAGAAUAAGGUGUCA